AUGCGUGCCUACACCGAUGGCUCGAGGCAACGCAUCUGCGAGGAGAUCAAAGAGAGACGCCAUGCUCGAGCGGUGGGCGUCCACAACGUCGUCGCCACCACGUCCGGCAUGCCUGCUGCGACCACCACCGAGGCCUCCAUCAAUCGCCGGGCCACUCUACGGCUCAGCAACGACCGGGGCAUGGCCGCAUCCCAUGGCACCGGCCUCGCUGCCAUGUCGCCCGCAACGUGUUCGACGCAAUGCCCAAGCCGCGCCGUCACCGGGUCAAUGUCAGCGCCCACUCCCACCGCAACAUUAGCUUCGUCCAAGGUCACCGUCAGUGUCGUCCCUGAGCGCGGCUUCUUCGACCUCGAGCCAGCGGCCGUGGCCUUCAGUCCGACCCCCAUGCUGGACAUCUCGGGCGACAGCUCAACCGUGAUGAACUCCCUCACGCACGAUGCCGUCUCCAACACCAGUUCGGCCAUGGCCUCUGUGUGUGCGUUGACAUCUACACACAUUCCCUCUGCGGUGCCUAUGGACACCGUCGACGCGAGCCCAGGCGGGGACAAUGCUACAACUCUCGUCUCUGUCGCUGUGGAGGCGUCAGCAGCAAUGGAACUCGCUCCAAGUGUGGCUGCCCCAUUGGUUUGCCUCGAUGAUCUCCACCUCAAGACGUACAUAGGUGCCAUCAGCGUGUUCCCAAGUGUUCCUAUGUCAGCGCUCUCCAGGUGUUCUACAGAAAGUUUAGACCAAGACACGAGCAUGGAAUCGCCAGAAUUUGCACUCGGUGUAUGUCCGCUCACGAGAGUAGCGUGUGCCUACUUCCACUCUAGUCUUAUGCCACCAGUUUUGAGGAGUGCUCGUGUCAAGAAGGUCAACAUGUUCCAGUUGCUCAACAGUAACGACAGCAUCAAUGUCACCAAGGAGCAGGACAAGUCACUACUUAAAUGGCACAUGUCAUCGUAG
rnacentral:rRNA from 1 species